AGGACGAACGCUGGCGGCGUGCUUAACACAUGCAAGUCGAGCGGAAAGGCCCUUCGGGGUACUCGAGCGGCGAACGGGUGAGUAACACGUGAGUAAUCUGCCCCUAGCUCUGGGAUAGCUCCGGGAAACCGGGAUUAAUACCGGAUACGACCACCUUAGACAUCUUUUGUGGUGGAAAGAAUUUCGGCUAGGGAUGAGCUCGCGGCCUAUCAGCUUGUUGGUGGGGUAAUGGCCUACCAAGGCGACGACGGGUAGCCGGCCUGAGAGGGCGACCGGCCACACUGGGACUGAGACACGGCCCAGACUCCUACGGGAGGCAGCAGUGGGAAUAUUGCGCAAUGGGCGAAAGCCUGACGCAGCGACGCCGCGUGGGGGAUGAGUGCCUUCGGGUUGUAAACCCCUUUCGGCAGGGACGAAGCGAUUGUGACGGUACCUGCAGAAGAAGCUCCGGCUAACUACGCGCCAGCAGCCGC
rnacentral:rRNA from 1 species